rnacentral:rRNA from 1 species
GUAGGUGGCAAGCGUUGUCCGGAAUUAUUGGGCGUAAAGCGCGCGCAGGCGGGGUCCUUUAAGUCUGAUGUGAAAGCCCACGGGCUCAACCGUGAGGGUCAUUGGAAACUGGGGGACUUGAGUACAGAAGAGGAAAGCGGAAGUCCAAGUGUAGCGGUGAAAUGCGUAGAGAUUUGGAGGAACACCAGUGGCGAAGGCGGCUUUCUGGUCUGUAACUGACGCUGAGGCGCGAAAGCGUGGGGAGCAAACAGGAUUAGAUACCCUGGUAGUCCACGCCGUAAACGAUGAGUGCUAAGUGUUAGGGGGUUUCCGCCCCUUAGUGCUGCAGCUAACGCAUUAAGCACUCCGCCUGGGGAGUACGGCCGCAAAGGCUG